rnacentral:rRNA from 1 species
UACGUAGGCAGCGAGCGUUGUUCGGAGUUACUGGGCGUAAAGAGUGCGUAGGCGGUUUUCUAAGUUCAGUGUGAAAUCUCCCGGCUCAACCGGGAGGGUGCGCCGAAGACUGGAAGGCUCGGAGUGUGGGAGAGGUAAGCGGAAUUCCUGGUGUAGCGGUGAAAUGCGUAGAUAUCAGGAGGAACACCUGCGGUGUAGACGGCUUACUGGACCAUGACUGACGCUGAGGCACGAAAGCGUGGGUAGCAAACAGG